AGGAUGAUGGGGAUCUAAACCCUUCCCAGAGUAUCAAUUGGAGGGCAAGUCUGGUGCCAGCAGCCGCGGUAAUUCCAGCUCCAAUAGCGUAUAUUAAAGUUGUUGCAGUUAAGAAGCUCGUAGUUGAAUUUCUGCCUUGUCUUUGGACUCACUUUUAUGUGUUUUCCAUCUGGCUUGGCAUUUUUCUGGAUUGUAUAAUUUCGGUUAUGCUUUUCCAGAUUUUACUUUGAGAAAACUAGAGUGUUUCAAACAGGGCUUUUGCCUUGAAUACUACAGCAUGGAAUAAUAAAGUAGGACUUUGGUUCUAUUUUGUUGGUUUUCGAACCAUAGUAAUGGUUAAUAGGAGCAGUUGGGGGCAUUCGUAUUUAACUGUCAGAGGUGAAAUUCUUAGAUUUGUUAAAGACGAACUACUGCGAAAGCAUUUGCCAAGGAUGUUUUCCUUAAUCAAGAACGAAAGUUAGGGGA
rnacentral:rRNA from 1 species